rnacentral:rRNA from 1 species
UACGGAGGGUGCAAGCGUUAUCCGGAUUCACUGGGUUUAAAGGGAGCGUAGGUGGGAUGGUAAGUCAGUGGUGAAAUCUCCGGGCUUAACUCGGAACUGCCGUUGAUACUAUCAUUCUUGAAUAUUGUGGAGGUAAGCGGAAUAUGUCAAUGUAGCGGUGAAAUGCUUAGAAUAUGACAUAGAACACCAAUAGCGAAGGCAGCUUGCUACACAAUUAUUGACACUGAGCUCGAAAGCGUGGGGAUCAAACAGG